UACGUAGGGUGCAAGCGUUAAUCGGAAUUACUGGGCGUAAAGCGUGCGCAGGCGGUUGUGCAAGACAGAUGUGAAAUCCCCGGGCUCAACCUGGGGAAUUGCAUUUGUGACUGUACGGCUAGAGUGUGUCAGAGGGGGGGUAGAAUUCCACGUGUAGCAGUGAAAUGCGUAGAGAUGUGGAGGAAUACCGAUGGCGAAGGCAGCCCCCUGGGAUAACACUGACGCUCAUGCACGAAAGCGUGGGGAGCAAACAGG
rnacentral:rRNA from 1 species